AGAUGGAGUGCCUUCCAUCAAGGACCUCAGUGCACCUUGCAAAUGUCAUGAGUCAUCAAAGCCCUUCUAUAAUGGAGACGGGGGAUGCUGAGACUCUAAGAAGUAGAGUGACUUUUUGAAAGUACUGGAUCCAGGAUUCAAGUUCUGGAAGUCAGAAGUUUGAAAUGGCUUUCACUGGGCUAAAAUCAAGGAGGUAGAAUAAGGGUCUCCUGGCUUACUCAAUUAUUUCUGGACUCUUCCACAAAGACCCUCUGAGUGUUUGUUUCCACAAAGAUCUCAACAAACACUAGAGACUCAUCAACCGGAGUGAAUUCCCUCAGUGAAAUCGCUCUCCUCUGCCAAGAAUCAAAGGUCAUCCCAGUGGAGUGCCGUCUUCGUGUUCAGCCGCUACGGAGUGUCUGGAACAGAGUGAGAACAAAAAUUAUACUAGUUUGGUGCCCCCUGACUCUUUCGGGAAGAAUCCCAACAAAACUGCCACUGGGAAUUCGGAGAACACAUUUGAA